UACAGAGGUCUCAAGCGUUGUUCGGAUUCAUUGGGCGUAAAGGGUGCGCAGGUGGCGCCGUAAGUCGGGUGUGAAAUUUCGGAGCUUAACUCCGAAACUGCAUUCGAUACUGCGGUGCUUGAGGACUGGAGAGGAGACUGGAAUUCAUGGUGUAGCAGUGAAAUGCGUAGAGAUCAUGAGGAAGACCAGUGGCGAAGGCGGGUCUCUGGACAGUUCCUGACACUGAGGCACGAAGGCCAGGGGAGCAAACGGG
rnacentral:rRNA from 1 species